rnacentral:sRNA from 1 species
UGCAAUGCCUAAAAACACUACCAGCCAUCUGAAAAACAUGUGACUUCUAACUUCUGUUCUUUUUUGUAGCAGUGGAAUCCCACGGUGAUAUCUGAGGGAUGUGGUUACCUUUUGGAGGAGGUUGACGGUUUCUAAGGAUGAUUCUUUCUGAGUGAAAUAUUGUCGGUGUCAUUGACCUUUUCAUUAUUUCAACUAUUAUUAUUCCAGGUUAUCAAUACUCUGGCUGACCAUCAUCAUCCUGGGACUGACUUUGGUGGAAGUCCUUGGUUAGGUAUCAUUAUUGAAUUUCCGAGAAGUUAUAAAGUUGUCAUUACCCUCUGGACAGUUUACCUUUGGGUGAGUAUACUAACUUUCUGUAGAGGUAUACUUGUAAUCACAAAUAAGAAUAAAUUAUAUAAAACAA